UGACAUCAUCAUGAUGAUGUAACUAUGACCUCAUAAUUAAUUUUAAUUUAAUUAACUAAUUGACUAAGUCAAAUUAAAGACUAAAAACAAAAUUGAAAAGCCAAUUUUUUUACUUCUUCUUCUUCUUUUUUUCCCUCUUUCCCGUAGCUCUCUCCUCUCCCUCUCAUUUCCAUGAAAAGCCACCAUUAAAGCUUGCAUACAAGCUUUAAUUCUUCCACUCAAUUCUCAUAACUCCCCUAAAAUACCCUACUAAAGCUUGUUAUUACUACUAAGAAGGAGAUUACAAGGAAAAAGAAGAGCAAAAGUUAGGGUUUUGAAGAUUUAAGAAAGUUGAAAAGAAUAUCGGGAAGGAACCCGAGGAACCGAGUCGAGGCUAAAGGACGACUCGUUUGAGAUACAGAGAUUAGAGGAGCAGCAGACUGAGCUGCUGAGGUGUGUGAAGUCAUCAGCUUGAAGUCUU